UACGUAGGGGGCAAGCGUUGUCCGGAUUUAUUGGGCGUAAAGAGCGUGUAGGCGGCCAUGCAGGUCAGCUGUGAAAACUCGAGGCUCAACCUCGAGAUGUCGGUUGAAACCGUAUGGCUAGAGUCCGGAAGAGGAGAGUGGAAUUCCCGGUGUAGCGGUGAAAUGCGCAGAUAUCGGGAGGAACACCAGUGGCGAAGGCGGCUACCUGGACCAGCACUGACACAUGAGGCACGGAAAGCGUGGGGAGCAAACAGG
rnacentral:rRNA from 1 species